rnacentral:ncRNA from 1 species
CUGAGGGGUGAGGCCACUAGCUGGCUAGCCCUUUCGGGCCGCAGAGACCAGGGAGAAGCGACUGUUUACUAAAAAACACAGGUCCGUGCGAAGUCGCAAGACGAUGUAUACGGACUGACGCCUGCCCGGUGCUGGAAGGUUAAGAGGACGGGUCAGCCGCGAGGCGAAGCUCAGAAUUUAAGCCCCAGUAAACGGCGGUGGUAACUAUAACCAUCCUAAGGUAGCGAAAUUCCUUGUCGGGUAAGUUCCGACCUGCACGAAUGGCGUAACGACUUCUCCGCUGUCUCGACCGCGAACUCGGCGAAAUUGCACUACGAGUAAAGAUGCUCGUUUCGCGCAGCAGGACGGAAAGACCCCGGGUCCUUUACUAUAGCUUGGUAUUGGUGUUCGGUACGGCUUGUGUAGGAUAGGUGGGAGACCGUGGAAGCCGCCACGCCAGUGGUGGUGGAGUCGCCGUUGAAAUACCACUCUGGUCGUACUGCACAUCUAACCUCGGUCCGUGAUCCGGACCAGGGACAGUGCCUGGUGGGUAGUUUAACUGGGGCGGUUGCKCCRWCUGUAACGGAGGCGCUCAAAGGUUCCCUCCAGCCUGGUUGGCCAAUCAGGUGUCGAGUGCAAGUGCACAAGGGAGCUUACUG